rnacentral:lncRNA from 1 species
AUCCAGUCUCUUGCUUAGAGCAUCCAAGCUUGGCUACUCACUGGAGCUGAUGGCAGAGAAAUUAGCAGUUUCAACAUUCUGCUGCUGUAUCACAACAUCACUGACUGAGUGGUUUAUAAACAAGAGAAAUUUACUUCUCAGGAUCCUGGAGGAUGAAAUUCCAAGACAUCAGAG